AAAGUACUCCCUCCGUCCCAAAAUUCUUGUCUUAGAUUUGUCUAGAUACGGAUGUAUCAAGUCACAUUUUAGUAUUAGAUACAUCCGUAUCUAGACAAAUCUAAGAAAAGAAAUUUGGGAUAGAGGGAGUAGUUG
rnacentral:pre_miRNA from 1 species